rnacentral:lncRNA from 1 species
CCCCCCGAGAGUUUACCAUCUUUUAUUUUUGAGAUGGGGUUAAGUGAGCCCCCCAUCAGCACCCAAGUAACUGGGUCCUCCAGCGCGUUUGCCCCACCCAGCCGUCCACCACCGGAGUGUGAGCUGUGUUAGGCUGGCCUCAGACUUGCAUUCCACCUGCCUCAGCCUCCCGAGUAGCUGGCAUGACACAUGUGCGUGUACUGGUUGUCAGGCCCGAUCUGGCUGUGAAAUGCGUAAUGAAUGUGCUGUUGAAGGCUGCAGCCCUCAGCAAGACCCGCCGCCCCAAACGCCCCUGGUUGUGCCUGGUGCUGCUGGCCUCUCCCUCAGCCCACCUGCGCUCAGGCCUCCGGAAGCUGCGAGGCUGCCUGGGACCGGCCCGGGGCCCACAGGGAGUGAGCGGAAGUUGCCGGCUGCACAGGAGGGCCCACGCCCGUCACGCGUGAGGAGCAGGGGAGCGUGGCCAGGCCUUGUCCUUGGAUUAUCUCCCGGGCCUCC